CCCGCGCGCGCACACUCUGCCCCCCGCUGCCCGACCCACGGGGGCGGUGCGCGAACCCCGCGGAUCGAGGAGCCCCGCCUCCGGGCGGGCCGAGCCAAGGGGAGCGCACCCCGACUUCCCUGGAUCACAUGGGCUGCGGGGGGCGGGUGGAUCGGGGGAGGGGGAGGCGCGGGGAGCUCGCCGCGGCUCCUCACUGUGGCAGGGGAGAAGAUGCCCCCCACCCCUCUAGUUCGGCCUCUCCAUUCAAGUUCCCCGGACCCGGCCGCCUGGAUCCCGGGAUGGCAACAGCCGCCUGCCCGGCUCUGCGCCCUUUUUCCAGCCACCGCGCAGAAAUUUAGGUCAAGGACGUCGGGAUCAAAUCCAAACCCUGGCGCUCCUCGGGCAGCCGCCGAGACCCCCCAGGAUCGUGGGGCUUCAGGAUUGCGGAGGCUCUCCCGCACAAACACCAGCCACAAGUUUUAUUUUCCUUUCGCGCUGGAAGUUAUCUCUGGCUCUCGCUCCGCACCGGCACGUCUUGCGCGGCUCCCCGCCCUUCCCCGGCAGAGGGGAAGCCGGCUUUCAUGCCGUCAAGGUGCACAAGUAGCCUGCUAGAGAGGCCCACGUGGAGAAGAAUUGCAGUUUCCUGUCAGUAAUCUGCCCGGAUUGUGAGACAUCUUAACGGUGCAUCUGCCAGCCCCAGCCAUGCCUUCAGACGACAGCUACCCCAGCUCACAUCUCAACAACUUCCCGAGAGACCUGGAGCCAGAACCUCCCAGCUAAGCCGCUCCCAAUUCCUGACCCUCAGAUACUGGAUCUAUAAGGAUAUAAAAUCCAUGAGAUGGGCUUCCCUGGUGGCUCAGUGGUUGAGAGUCCGCCUGCCGAUGCAGGGGAUGCGGGUUCGUGCCCCGGUGCGGGAGGAUCCCACAUGACGCGGAGCAGCUGGGCCCGUGAGCCAUGGCGGCUGAGCCUGCGCGUCCGGAGCCUGCGCUCCGCAACGGGAGAGGCCACAACAGUGAGAGGCCC